rnacentral:rRNA from 1 species
UACGGGGGGAGCAAGCGUUGUUCGGAUUUACUGGGCGUAAAGGGCGCGUAGGCGGUCGUGACAAGUCACUUGUGAAAUCUCCGGGCUUAACUCGGAACGGUCAAGUGAUACUGUCGGACUAGAGUACAGAAGGGGCAACUGGAAUUCUCGGUGUAGUGGUGAAAUGCGUAGAUAUCGGGAGGAACACCAGUGGCGAAGGCGGCCCCCUGGGCCGCUCCUGACGCUGAGACGCGAAGGCCAGGGUAGCGAACGGG